CGCCCCGCCCCCUGCCCCCGGCCGCGAGAGCGCCGUUCGUGUGGCCGCUUCCCUUCCCCCACCAAGGACCUCCCCAGAGGUGCCAGGUAGCGGAGCCCGCCGCUCUGGGCAGCCGAGCCCCGCGUCCCACACGAAGUACUGGAGCCUAGCAAACUCCGCUCGUGUGUCUUCGGUGGAGCCUAGCAAACUCCACUUGUGCUUGUCUGUAACUGCAACUCAAGCAAGUUUUCCUGCCUGCAUUGCGACCAUCUACGGUGGCUCCAUAUCCGUUCUCCAGGCAAACUGCUGCAGGUGGGGAUGAAGACUUCUGCUUGCUACCAGAGGUCACAAGCUUUCAACCUCCACCUUCCUAGAAGUCCAUUUCCUCCUACUUCUCUAGGCACUCCCCCACCCGGCUUUCACUAGAAGCCAUAGUCCCCACAAUGCCGAACCAGGACCUCAGUGCAAGCCUUGAAAAUGAGUGGUCCUGCCUGGACAGAUACCUCACAGGUACAAGUACAGGAAAAGCUGACAGUGGCAGUGGCAUUGCAAUGUCCUCCAACCACCUCUCUGGAUCUCUUAAAUCUUCCGCUUACCUCUUCCCGCCUCUCUCUAAGCAGACCUUCCUUAGCAAACUCCCCUGUAAGCUGGCCUAUUCAUUGCUCCUUGGUCUUGAAAGGUUCCCUUUUUCCUGCUAACCUGCUUCCUCUUACUAAGCUUACAGUGAAGAAAGGUGAGAGAGAGUUUUCAGGCGAACUCCCUACUUGCUUUGGUUUCUAGUUAAACAAGGGACUUAUAUUGAUCUAACUGCUAAGUUUUACCUACUUAACACUAACUAUCUAGGUCAUUUACUCUUAAUUAAGAAAAAGUUUACCUUAAAGGCUCCACUUGAAAGAGAGGGGUAGCAAACUGACUUGUAAACUGCCCUGUUUGUUGGCCCUGGUUGCUUGGGGACUCUUCUUUUAUACCAGGGGUGGAUAAUUAUAUUGGGCGGAGGGCCACUUACUGAGUUUUGGCAAGCCAUCGAGGGCUGCAUGACAGGCAGCCAGGUGCAGAUAUAUAUUAAUUUUCUACAUUUUUUUAGGGGCCCUGUGGGCCAGAUAGAAUGGCCUGGCAGGCUGCAUCAGGCCCGCAGGCCACAUUUUACCCACCCCUGUUUUAUACCCUCCUGGGCCAGGACUGACUCUGCCCCCUUGUUAGGGCUUUUGUAAGACACUUGCAGCAAUCACUCUGCAGUUACUCAACUGGCAGCUCUCCUAGUAGCUCAAAGCACAUACCCAAACAUACAGCCAACCAAACACUCAACAAGCCAAACCCACAGGCAGUCCUGGCUCACAUACCUUCCAGAAGCAGAAUCUAGUCAGUGCCUGGUUCCUCUUCCCCUUCAUCUUCCUCCUUUGGCUCCCAGUGAACUGCUUGCAAACUCUCCUGUUUGCUGUCCCUGUUCAUUCAAUCCCUGAUUGCUCAGGUAGUCUCCUUUUAUACCUUUUAAGCUACGUAUUCCAAUUCUGCAUUGCUAAUUUUUUGGAGAAAGGUGUCUGUGGUAUGCAAAUAAAUACAGUAUC